rnacentral:rRNA from 2 species
AAUUGGUGGUGUAGGGGUAAAAUCCGUAGAUAUCACCAAGAAUACCCAUUGCGAAGGCGAUCUGCUGGAACUCAACUGACGCUAAGGCGCGAAAGCGUGGGGAGCAAACAGGAUUAGAUACCCUGGUAGUCCACGCCCUAAACGAUGUACACUAGUUGUUGGGGUGCUAGUCAUCUCAGUAAUGCAGCUAACGCAUUAAGUGUACCGCCUGGGGAGUACGGUCGCAAGAUUAAAACUCAAAGGAAUAGACGGGGACCCGCACAAGCGGUGGAGCAUGUGGUUUAAUUCGAAGAUACGCGAAGAACCUUACCUGGGCUUGAUAUCCUAAGAACCUUUUAGAGAUAAGAGGGUGCUAGCUUGCUAGAACUUAGAGACAGGUGCUGCACGGCUGUCGUCAGCUCGUGUCGUGAGAUGUUGGGUUAAGUCCCGCAACGAGCGCAACCCACGUAUUUAGUUGCUAACGGUUCGGCCGAGCACUCUAAAUAGACUGCCUUCGUAAGGAGGAGGAAGGUGUGGACGACGUCAAGUCAUCAUGGCCCUUAUGCCCAGGGCGACACACGUGCUACAAUGGCAUAUACAAUGAGACGCAAUACCGCGAGGUGGAGCAAAUCUAUAAAAUAUGUCCCAGUUCGGAUUGUUCUCUGCAACUCGAGAGCAUGAAGCCGGAAUCGCUAGUAAUCGUAGAUCAGCCAUGCUACGGUGAAUACGUUCCCGGGUCUUGUACUCACCGCCCGUCACACCAUGGGAGUUGAUUUCACUCGAAGCCGGAAUACUAAACUAGUUACCGUCCACAGUGGAAUCAGCGACUGGGGUGAAGUCGUAACAAGGUAACCGUAGGAGAACCUGCGGUUGGA